CUUGUCUCAAAGAUUAAGCCAUGCAAGUGAAAGUAUAUGCAUAUUUUAUAUGUAGAAACUGCGAACGGCUCAUUAAAACAGUUAUAAUCUAGUUGACAUUUUCUAUAUAAGGAUAACUACGGAAAAGCUGUAGCUAAUACUUGCUUUAGCACUCUUGAUUUAUUUCUUGAGUGUGUACUUGUUAAGCCUUAUAAGAAAAGAGUUAUUAACUUAAGGAAUUAUAACAAAGAAGUAACACGUAAUGGAUUCUUCCAUUUUUUAGUGUGUAUCAAUCGAGUUUCUGACCUAUCAGCUUUUGAUGUUAGGGUAUUGGCCUUAACAUGGCUAUGACGGGUAACGGGGAAUUAGAGUUCGACUUCCGAGAGGGAGCCUGAGAAAUAGCUACCACAUCUAAGGAAGGCAGCAGGCUAAAUUACCCAAUUCUAAAGAAGAGAGGUAGUGACAAGAAAUAACAAUACAAGGCCAAUCUGGCUUUGUAAUUGGAAUGAUGGGAAUUUAAAACCUUCCCAAAAUUCAAUUGGAGGGCAAGUCUGGUGCCAGCAGCCGCGGUAAUUCCAGCUCCAAUAGCGUAUAUUAAAAUUGUUGCAGUUAAAACGCUCGUAGUUGAAUUUCAAAGAACCUAUAUUUUAAUGAUGCUGUUAGCGAGAGCACAAAAAAGCUAAUUCCAAUAUAUGUUUUCUGCUUUAUGUGCGCAUCCUCUACCUAUUAAGUGUUAAUUAAAUUAAAGGGUUUCUUUUUAAAAUCUUCUAUAACUAAUAAAAAUAUAUGGAAGAUUUUGUUACUUUGAGUAAAUUAGAGUGUUCAAAGCAAACAGAUAUAUAGCACUUGCGCGUUUGAAUACUACAGCAUGGAAUAACAAAAUUGAACAGGUCAAAACUAUGUUUCUUUUUUUUUAUUUUUGGCUUAGUUACGAUUAAUAGGAGUAGUUUGGGGACAUUUGUAUUCAGAUGUCAGAGGUGAAAUUCUAAGAUUUUCUGGAGACAAACAACUGCGAAAGGCAUUUGUCUAAAAUACUUCCAUUAAUCAAGAACGAAAGUUAAGGGAGUGAAGACGAUCAGAUACCGUCGUAAUCUUAACCAUAAACUAUACCGACUAGGCUUUUGGAUGAAAGUAAAACAAAUGAGGAUAGUCUCUUCGGGGAUAGUUCUUAGAUUUCUUCCUUCAGUACCUUAUGAGAAAUCAAAGUCUUUGGGUUCUGGGGCGAGUAUUCGCGCAAGCGAGAAAGUUAAAAGAAUUGACGGAAGGGCACCACCAGGCGUGGAGCUUGCGGCUUAAUUUGACUCAACACGGGAAAACUCACUAGUUUAAGACAUCCGUAGGAUUGACAGAUUACUAGCUCUUUCUUGAUUUCUUGGAUGGUGAUGCAUGGCCGUUUUUAGUUCGCGAAUAUGAUUUGUCUGGUUAAUUCCGAUAACGAACGAGAUCUUAACCUGCUAAUUAGCGGCAAAUACAACAUAUUUCUAUGCUGAAUUUGUAUUUGGAUAAUUUAAAAGGUUUUUUUGCCGUGCAUAUAAUGAGUACGGAAAAAAUGCAUUUUGCUACCUUGUACCUAAUAAUACUUGUGCGCCUAUGCAUAUUUCCAACCCUCUAUUCCCUGUACCGCAUAAAACUGGAUUAUGAUGCCAUUUCACUUUUAUGUAGAAAUGUAUUUGCUUUUACAUAAAGCUUCUUAGAGGAACGAUGUGUGUCUAACACAAGGAAGUUUAAGGCAACAACAGGUCUGUGAUGUCCUUAGAUGAACUAGGCUGCACGCGUGCUACACUGAUAUGUAUAACGAGUUACUAAAAUUACGAUAUGGCUGCUUGCAGUUUAUUUCGUACUUUUCCUCCACUGAAAAGUGUAGGUAAUCUUUAUCAAUACAUAUCGUGAUGGGGAUAGAUUAUUGCAAUUAUUAAUCUUGAACGAGGAAUGCCUAGUAAGCAUGAUUCAUCAGAUUGUGCUGACUACGUCCCUGCCCUUUGUACACACCGCCCGUCGCUCUACGAUCGAAGAUAUGAUGAUGAAUUGUUUGGACAAGAAAAAAUUGGAUUAUAUCUUUUUUUUCUGGAAAAACCGUAAAUCCUAUCUUUUAAAGGAAGGAGAAGUCGUAACAAGGUUUCCGUAGGUGAA
rnacentral:rRNA from 1 species